ensembl:lincRNA
AUUUUAAAUUUAUAAAUGUAAUGAAAAUCAGAUGACUUUGGAAUUAAGGAAUAUGUGAAGUAAAAAAUACAUGCUCUUUCUUGGGGAUAUGCUGCUUUUUCCCUUCCUAUAAUCUAAAUUCUUGAUGAGUAUGUAGUCACCCACGUCUUAACUUCUGUAGAACAGUGAGCUAGGGUCUUCCAUGCCAGAAGGGCAGAGAGAUCCUCAUCACAUCUGACCCCACCCUUCAUUGCCUCUCCUUCCCAGGUUGAAAUCCAGGGUGUCUACAUCCCACAGGAUUAUGGAGGGUGUAUGCAUUGUGCACUUGUCACUUAGAGACUCCUACGGUCUGAGAAUGUUAAUUUUCCUUCGUGUCGUCGUGGUAGAGACCCAGAGGUGGCAUUUCAAGUUCCGGGAGUUAUGCAUGAACUGGCUUUCUGGAAUUAAAGUGUUCUGA